AGUGUUUCUGUACCAUUUCCUCCAGACAAGCGCAGGCUGCCAUCUGUCAGAGGAGCUCUUCAGAGGCUCUUCUCCUCCACCUCUCUGUCGGGUCAGGCUGAACCUCAGGAGACCGCCGCCCCCACGCUGACGGACCCCAUGUCUCCAGAGGAGAUUAAAGCGUGGGAAGAGGAGGAGCUGGAUAAACCAAUCGAUAUGGAGCAGAUCCGGAUAGACCCCUCCCCCUUUCAGCUGGUGGAGAGGACCUCGCUGCACAAGACCCACACCCUGUUCUCUCUGCUGGGGCUCAGCCACGCCUACGUCACCAGUAUUGGGAAGCUGGUGGGCGUCGUGGCACUCAAA